rnacentral:rRNA from 1 species
CCUACGGGCGGCAGCAGUGAGGAAUAUUGGUCAAUGGACGAGAGUCUGAACCAGCCAAGUAGCGUGAAGGAUGACUGCCCUAUGGGUUGUAAACUUCUUUUAUAUGGGAAUAAAACGUUCCACGUGUGGGAUUUUGUAUGUACCAUAUGAAUAAGGAUCGGCUAACUCCGUGCCAGCAGCCGCGGUAAUACGGAGGAUCCGAGCGUUAUCCGGAUUUAUUGGGUUUAAAGGGAGCGUAGGUGGAUUGUUAAGUCAGUUGUGAAAGUUUGCGGCUCAACCGUAAAAUUGCAGUUGAAACUGGCAGUCUUGAGUACAGUAGAGGUGGGCGGAAUUCGUGGUGUAGCGGUGAAAUGCUUAGAUAUCACUAAGAACUCCGAUUGCGAAGGCAGUUCACUGGACUGCAACUGACACUGAGGCUCGAAAGUGUGGGUAUCAAACAGGAUUAGAUACCCUAGUAGUC